GAGUUUAAGAUUCCUCUUUUGUUCUGAGGGCAAGUUUUUGGGUGAUGAUGACAAAGCGUCAGGAGGACCUGUUAGAGUAGGUACGGCCCACCAUCUG